ACAAAGUUCGAAGAAGAACAUUGCUCAUCUGCUGUCUGUUUGGCUUUAACAACUCCAAAGACAUGUUGCUUUACCUGUUUUUACUUUUCUCUCCCUUUAUAGCCCUGGGUUCCAUGAACAGCAUAAAGCCAGAAAGUACUGAAGAACAUUUUGCAGAGGGCAGAAACAUCAACCUGACCUGUACAUAUGAGGGUGAUAUCAACAAUAUCCAGUGGUACCGACAAUACCAGAGAUCCAGACCAGAGUUCCUGAUCUCCAUCACAGAGGGAGGAUUGAUUCAUCCAACUGGUUCUGAUUUCUCAGCUCACAUUGACAAGAAA